AAACCCAGCACUGAGGUUUUACGGUUUUCGUGACGAAGGCCGACGGGAAUACGUCGCAAGAGGAACAAACCGCGGCUCUGGAGGCGGGAGUUUGCGCGCCAAGAGCUUUCUGCAGCACGCAAAAAUGAAACGGGUUUGGCUGAGAAGUUUUAUGUUUGAUUAAACGACGAAAGGCACUUCCUGGUCUGCUCCUUGGUUCCCGCUGUGCCGCUUGGGAGUAAAUCCAGAGUCCUUCUGGCGCAGAGCAUGUUCCAGGAUCAUUUCAGAGUGGAAGAAAAUCUAAACUUCACCAAUUUAAAAGAAUAAUAAAGAACAUGCCUGGUACCUUUCAUACAGACAAAGUUUA